UGCGACAUUGGAAGUAGUAUCA
rnacentral:miRNA from 1 species